GCUUGGAUAGCUCAGCUGGUUAGAGCGUGGUGCUGAUAAUGCCAAGGAUGCAAGUUCGAUCCCUGUUUGGGACA